UAAGGAAUAUUGCGCAAUGGGGGAAACCCUGACGCAGCAACGCCGCGUGGAGGAUGACACUUUUCGGAGCGUAAACUCCUUUUAUCAGGAAAGAAUAAUGACGGUACCUGAUGAAUAAGCACCGGCUAACUCCGUGCCAGCAGCCGCGGUAAUACGGGGGGUGCAAGCGUUACUCGGAAUCACUGGGCGUAAAGGACGCGUAGGCGGAUUAUCAAGUCUUUUGUGAAAUCUAGUGGCUUAACCACUAAACUGCUUAGGAAACUGAUAGUCUAGAGUAGGGGAGAGGUAGAUGGAAUUCUUGGUGUAGGGGUAAAAUCCGUAGAGAUCAAGAAGAAUACCCAUUGCGAAGGCGAUCUGCUGGAACCUAACUGACGCUGAGGCGUGAAAGCGUGGGUAGCAAACAGG
rnacentral:rRNA from 1 species